CAGUCGCCACGGUAAUACGAGGGGGGCAAGCGUUGUUCGGAAUUAUUGGGCGUAAAGGGUGCGUAGGCGGCUUGACAAGUCUUGUGUGAAAUCUAUGGGCUCAACCCAUAGUCUGCACGGGAAACUGUCGGGCUUGAGAAUGGGAGAGGUGAGUGGAAUUUCCGGUGUAGCGGUGAAAUGCGUAGAUAUCGGAAGGAACACCUGUGGCGAAAGCGGCUCACUGGACAAUAACUGACGCUGAUGCACGAAAGCUAGGGGAGCAAACAGGAUUAGAUACCCCAGUAGUCCCUGUCUCUUAUAA
rnacentral:rRNA from 1 species